AGAGUUUGAUCAUGGCUCAGAUUGAACGCUGGCGGCAGGCUUAACACAUGCAAGUCGAACGGUAACAGGGAGAAAGCUUGCUUUCUUUGCUGACGAGUGGCGGACGGGUGAGUAAUGCUUGGGAAUCUGGCUUAUGGAGGGGGAUAACUACGGGAAACUGUAGCUAAUACCGCGUAAUAUCUUCGGAUUAAAGGGUGGGACCGUAAGGCCACCUGCCAUAAGAUGAGCCCAAGUGGGAUUAGGUAGUUGGUGGGGUAAAGGCCUACCAAGCCGACGAUCUCUAGCUGGUCUGAGAGGAUGGCCAGCCACACUGGAACUGAGACACGGUCCAGACUCCUACGGGAGGCAGCAGUGGGGAAUAUUGCACAAUGGGGGGAACCCUGAUGCAGCCAUGCCGCGUGAAUGAAGAAGGCCUUCGGGUUGUAAAGUUCUUUCGGUGAUGAGGAAGGUGUUUGUUUUAAUAGAACAAGCAAUUGACGUUAGUCACAGAAGAAGCACCGGCUAACUCCGUGCCAGCAGCCGCGGUAAUACGGAGGGUGCGAGCGUUAAUCGGAAUGACUGGGCGUAAAGGGCACGCAGGCGGUGACUUAAGUGAGAUGUGAAAGCCCCGGGCUUAACCUGGGAAUCGCAUUUCAUACUGGGUUGCUAGAGUAUUUUAGGGAGGGGUAGAAUUCCACGUGUAGCGGUGAAAUGCGUAGAGAUGUGGAGGAAUACCGAAGGCGAAGGCAGCCCCUUGGGAAUAUACUGACGCUCAUGUGCGAAAGCGUGGGGAGCAAACAGGAUUAGAUACCCCGGUAGUCCACGCUGUAAACGCUGU
rnacentral:rRNA from 1 species